rfam:Glycine max cultivar Williams 82 chromosome 5, whole genome shotgun sequence.
AAUCCAUGAUGCAAUCAUAGUUCUAACAAGACUUUAUACCACUCCCAUGCUUCAUAUAGGGAAUUCACCACCCCUCUGGUGGAAAUUGGUGAUUUGUAUCCUCACC